GUUCAUUUCUAGCUAGUUUAAUUACAACUCGACGAUCAAAUCUUAAUCUGGCUUCAACACAAAUUCCGCUAUAUCCUCUCGAUCCGUCUCAAGAUCCAGAUCCACAAAUCUGCACCAGUGGCAUUUCAGCGGGGAAGGCGAUGAACGGAAAUCUGUUGUGCUAGUCUCCAAAAUUUGAAAUGAAAUUCAAACCUACCAUUCCUGAAGGCAGCGACGUAAAACCAAACGUUCAAAUACUAACUAGUUUGACCGUUAGGACUGGUACCAAGAAGACGAUGGAAUCAUUGGCUUCACCACGAGAUUCACAAACUCUUUCGAAACGAUGAUCUCGCAAGAUCCACCCAGCCCUGCAAAUCAGCAGCAAGAUUGUGAAGUGAAAAUAUACUUAGUUCUGUUCGCCUAGAAACAUGGAAGAAUUCAUCCAGGGUUACCAGAUAUAAACUUGGGAUUAUAUACGCUCUCAGAGACAUUAAGAUAAUUUAAGAAGGGAAGCGUUGCAACAUUAGGAAAAGUCUGUCAAACAACAGUCAGAAAGUCAUACUAUGGUCAGAUUGGACAACAGAGCAGCACAGACAGCAGGCAUGAUACAGGCACAUAAUUCAUAACAUUCGAAACUUGAAAAAUGCUUCUCCUAAGUCCUAAGCCUAUUUAUGUUUUGCAAUUUAUAAUUUAAUUUCAUACUAGUUUGAUUAGAAUAUAUGAUUUGCUAAAUUUCCAA